GCCGGGAUGGCGGAAUUGGCAGACGCGCUAGAUUCAGGUUCUAGUAGGCAAUGCGCCUGUGGGGGUUCAAGUCCCCCUCCCGGCACCA
rnacentral:tRNA from 1 species